AUGAAAUACAGGGCAUGUACAAUAUCAUGUCAGUUUCAGGUGUACUGUGUUUCCCUGGAGGCUCGGAGGGUAAAGAAUCUGCCUGCAAUGCAGGAGACCUGGGUUCAGUCCCUGGGUUGGGAAGAUUCCUUGGAGAAGGGAAUGGCUACCCACUCCAGUAUUCUUGCCUGGAGAACAUGGACAGAGGUGCCUCUCAGGCUGCAGUCCACCGGGUCGCAAGUAGUCGGACAGGACUGAGGGACUAAUACUUCAGGUGUUUUAUAUGAUGAUUUGAUAUUUGCAAACGAUCACCACCAUAAAUCUAUUAACGAACUGUCCCCACACAAAGCUAUUACAAUGUUACUGGCCAUAUCCCUUAUGUUGCAAAGAGUCCAACAGAACACAGCAACUGAACAACUGACAUAUAACUGGAGAUUUGUGCCUCUUAAUCCCCUUCACCUCUUUCGCCCACUGCCUCCCACCCUCCUCCUUUCUGGCAACCACCUGUUUGUAUUUUAAGAGAACGUGGGGUAUUGCUGCUUUGAAUUCCCAGAAGGAAGACAUGCCUGCAAGAACAUGGCUCAUAAACCUGCAGAUGAUUAACACUGAGGGCCAGGGUUAAGCUUGGGGCAAGAGUGUCGUGCAGAUUUUGCACCAGGUGUAGCAUACAUCCCAGAAAUGUGACGCUUGCUUUUCAACAAACCUAGGGGCACGAGUUCGAUACCUGGUCAAGGAACUAAGAUCCCUGGAAGCCACCUGGUGCAGCCUAAAAAAUAAAAAUAAUUUUAAAACACUGGGGCUUCCCCGGUGGAUCAGUGGUAAAGAAUCUGCCUGCCAGUGCAGGAAUCACAGGUUCGAUCCCUGAUCUGGAAGAUCUCUCAUACUGCAGAGCAACUAAGCCCUCUUGCCACAAUUAUUGAGCCUGUGCUCUAGUGCCUGGAAGCUGCAACUACGGAGCCCAUGUGUCGCAACGACUGAAACCUGAGGCCCGUAGCAUCCGAGCUCUGCCACCACAAAGAGAAGUCCGCACAGCGCACAACUCGACAAAGGGUAGCACCCGCUUCCCAGCAAUAGAGAAGAGACCGUGCGGCAGCAACGACCCCAAACAGCCAAAAAUAAAAAAAUC
ensembl:lncRNA